rnacentral:misc_RNA from 1 species
GAUGAAGAACGCAGCGAAAUGCGAUAAGUAAUGUGAAUUGCAGAAUUCAGUGAAUCAUCGAAUCUUUGAACGCACCUUGCGCUCCUUGGUAUUCCGAGGAGCAUGCCUGUUUGAGUGUCAUUAAUAUAUCAACCUCUUCAGCUUAUGCUUGUUGAGUGUUGGAUGGUGGGGGUUUGCUGGUGUCUUAUGAAGUCAGCUCCUCUGAAAUGCAUUAGCGGAACAAUUUGUUGACCGUUCAUUGGUGUGAUAAAAAUAUCUAAGCUAUUGACGUCAGUCAGUUCAGCUUCUAACAGUCCAUUGACUUGGACAAAUUUUUCAUUAAUGUGACCUCAAAUCAGGUAGGACUACCCGCUGAACUUAAGCAUAUCAAUAAGCGGAGGA